rnacentral:rRNA from 1 species
UCGAGAAUCUUGGGCAAUGCACGAAAGUGUGACCCAGCGACGCCGCGUGGAGGAUGAAGGCCCUUGGGUCGUAAACUCCUUUUAGAGGGGAAGAAUGGGCGCAAGCCUUUGACGGUACCCUCUGAAUAAGCCACGGCUAACUACGUGCCAGCAGCCGCGGUAAUACGUAGGUGGCAAGCGUUGUCCGGAUUUACUGGGCGUAAAGCGUAUGCAGGCGGGACUUUAAGUAGGAAGUGAAAGGUUGGAGCUCAACUCUAACACUGCUCCCUAUACUGGAGUUCUUGAGUGCCGGAGAGGAAGACGGAACGACACGUGUAGCGGUGAAAUGCGUUGAGAUGUGUCGGAACACCAAUGGCGAAAGCAGUCUUCUGGACGGAUACUGACGCUGAGAUACGAAAGCCAAGGUAGCAAACAGG